rnacentral:misc_RNA from 1 species
GACAAGGCCAAAACCGGCGUGCCACAGCUCCCCUCGAACGCGAAGAACAAGCUCAUCUCUAUCCCGCUGGAAGAGCUUCCAAGCAAGACGAAGAGCAUGGUGCGCAACGCGAAACAAGCCGAGGCGGAGAUCGCCGCGCUGAAGAUCUCCUACCUCAAGAGGAUCGGCAAGGGCUCCAACGUCAUCAUCAUGGACUCGUAUUGCGACAGCUCGAAGAUCGUGGCGAAGACGCUCAACAGCGUCGGAUUCAAGAACUGCUGGGUCAUGGCCGGCGGCUUCUCCGGCAGGAAAGGGUGGGCGCAGAGCCGGCUCGGGACGGACUCGUACAACCUGUCGGUCGUCGAAGUCGUCACGCCGUCGCGGGUAAUUCCUGCGGCCGCUGAUCGGCUCGUGACGGCUUCGUCGUCGGCUUCACGGACGACCACGAGUCGUAAGCUU